CCUACGGGGGGCUGCAGUGGGGAAUAUUGGACAAUGGGGGGAACCCUGAUCCAGCCAUGCCGCGUGUGUGAAGAAGGCCCUCGGGUUGUAAAGCACUUUCAGUGAGGAAGAACGCCUGGUGGUUAAUACCCAUCAGGAAAGACAUCACUCACAGAAGAAGCACCGGCUAACUCCGUGCCAGCAGCCGCGGUAAUACGGAGGGUGCGAGCGUUAAUCGGAAUUACUGGGCGUAAAGCGCGCGUAGGUGCUUGAUAAGCCGGUUGUGAAAGCCCCGGGCUCAACCUGGGAACGGCAUCCGGAACUGUCAAGCUAGAGUGCAGGAGAGGAAGGUAGAAUUCCCGGUGUAGCGGUGAAAUGCGUAGAGAUCGGGAGGAAUACCAGUGGCGAAGGCGGCCUUCUGGACUGACACUGACACUGAGGUGCGAAAGCGUGGGUAGCAAACAGGAUUAGAUACCCUUGUAGUC
rnacentral:rRNA from 1 species